rnacentral:rRNA from 1 species
AGAGUUUGAUCAUGGCUCAGGAUGAACGCUGGCGGCGUGCUUAACAUAUGCAAGUCGAACGAAGCAACCCAAUUGAAGAAGAAGGCAGCUUGCUGCCAACUGAUUCGCCCGGGUUGACUGAGUGGCGGACGGUGAGUAACGCGUGGGUAACCUGCCUCACACAGGGGGAUAACAGUUAGAAAUGGCUGCUAAUACCGCAUAAGCCCCCAAAACCGCAUGGUUUGGAGGGAAAAACGUUAGUGGUGUGAGAUGGACCCGCGUCUGAUUAGCUAGUUGGUGGGGUAACGGCCUACCAAGGCGACGAUCAGUAGCCGACCUGAGAGGGUGACCGGCCACAUUGGGACUGAGACACGGCCCAAACUCCUACGGGAGGCAGCAGUGGGGAAUAUUGCACAAUGGGGGAAACCCUGAUGCAGCGACGCCGCGUGAGUGAUGAAGUAUUUCGGUAUGUCAAGCUCUAUCAGCAGGGAAGAAAAUGACGGUACCUGACUAAGAAGCCCCGGCUAACUACGUGCCAGCAGCCGCGGUAAUACGUAGGGGGCAAGCGUUAUCCGGAUUUACUGGGUGUAAAGGGAGCGUAGACGGUUUAGCAAGUCUGAAGUGAAAGCCCGGGGCUUAACCCCGGGACUGCUUUGGAAACUGUUAGGCUAGAGUGUCGGAGAGGCAAGUGGAAUUCCUAGUGUAGCGGUGAAAUGCGUAGAUAUUAGGAGGAACACCAGUGGCGAAGGCGGCUUGCUGGACGAUGACUGACGUUGAGGCUCGAAAGCGUGGGGAGCAAACAGGAUUAGAUACCCUGGUAG